rnacentral:rRNA from 1 species
CAUCACUACGCUAGAUGCAUAUCAAUAAGCGGAGGAAAAGAAACUAACGAGGAUUCCCCUAGUAACGGCGAGUGAAGCGGGAAGAGCUCAAAUUUGAAAUCUUAAAGGGUUUCCCUUUACGAAUUGUAGUUUAAAGAAGUGUUUUCUGUUGGAGUUUCAGUAAAAGUUCUUUGGAAUAGGACAUCAUAGAGGGUGAGAAUCCCGUAUUUGACCGUUACUUUCCAGCUGUGUGAUACACUUUCAAAGAGUCGGAUUGUUUGGGAAUGCAGUCCAAGAUGGGUGGUAAAUUUCAUCUAAGGCUAAAUAUUGGCGAGAGACCGAUAGCGAACAAGUACCGUGAGGGAAAGAUGAAAAGAACUUUGAAAAGAGAGUUAAACAGUACGUGAAAUUGUCAAAAGGGAAGCGUUUGACACCAGUGUUGUUUAGUUGAAAAUCAAUUCAAUAGUUUUUGAUUCUAAGUAGUAUUGACUUCAUCAGCUUGCUGCUUUCUUCUCAGAAAUUAUUGAAUGCACUUUUCAGUUAACAAGUCAACAUCAAUUUCUUUUGUUGUAAAAGGGUAAGAGGAAGGUGGCUUGCGCUUCGGCUCAAGUGUUUAUAGCCUUUUAUCUCUGCAAUCGGAGAGAUUGAGGUCUGCAGCGUAGAUCCUUCGGGGUUAGAUACAUUGGUGCUAAGCUAUAGCCUUGUAUAGACAACUUGUUGACUAUGCUCAGUCAUGUAGCUUACUCGCUGAUGCUAUUUUACCUACGCUUAGGAUGUUGACACACGCGCGUGCUCG